UCGAGGAUCUUCCGCAAUGGGGGCAACCCUGACGGAGCGACGCCGCGUGCAGGAUGAAGGCCUUCGGGUCGUAAACUGCUGUCACACGUUAUGAAAAAGUACGAAUUAAUACUUCGCACCUUGACAAAGGCGUGAAAGGAAGCCACGGCUAACUUCGUGCCAGCAGCCGCGGUAAGACGAAGGUGGCUAGCGUUGCUCGGAAUUACUGGGCAUAAAGCGCGCGUAGGUGGUCGUGUAAGCGGGAGAUGAAAGCCCAUGGCUCACCCAUGGAACUGUCCCCCGGACUGCACGGCUCGAGGAAGGAAGGGGAGAAUGGAAUUCCCGGUGUAGCGGUGAAAUGCGUAGAUAUCGGGAGGAACGCCGGUGGCGAAAGCGAUUCUCUGGUCCUUUCCUGACACUGAGGCGCGAAAGCUAGGGGAGCAAACAGGAUUAGAUACCCCGGUAGUCC
rnacentral:rRNA from 1 species